AGACAAGUGUUAUGCUUUGGAAAUGAAAAGACUUAACCUACAGCAUGUUUUUCGAAAAGUAACUACGUAUCUUUACUUCUCAGUUCUUUAUUCAGGCCUCCUGUUUUUUGGCCCCACAGAACAGUUAGAAGGCGGUGGUGAGGCUGGAGCUGAGGAGCGUGUUCUUGAACCCACAUUAGAACUACGGACUGUCUGGAGUACAUUUCAGUUUGUAGCUCAUGUUUGGUCAUCAUAGAACCUGGAAAGUAUUACAUAGGUGUGUUCUUUUUCUUUUUAGUUUAAAGAAGAUAAUCAAUCAUGGGAAAUCGUUUAUGAAGGAAGUAUGUGGAAAGAGGCGUCUUUAUUUACUUUAACUACAAAAUUGGAUAUAUGCUCUAGAACUGUGCUGUUCUCUUCCGUAGCCACUGGCUCCAUGUGGCUGUUGAGCAUAGGAUUAUGUUGUCCAGUGGGUGUCUGUGUGUGGGGGGGUGGUUUACAGACCCAAUAUAUUCACUAAAGCUUUCAAUAUUGUACAUUUAGUAGAAAAUGCUAUGCAUUUUGAUUAUACAUUAAUACUCAAAAUUGAGUGACAAAAUAUGAAUGAAAUUGGACAGAUUAUUUAUCCGUAAUGUAACCUGAAUAUUUAUGAGGACAUGCUGACUAGAAUGCCCUAGGCUGAAAUAUUCCUUUUUAUCUGUCAACAUCUCCCUCCCCCCCGCCCCCUUUCAGUAUGUUAACAGAAAAGCUCUCAUCUAGUAGGAUGUAGAGGCUGAGAGAGUGGACUCUAGGUUGGAAUCCCUGCUUGGCUGCUUGUAGUCUGUGUGAUCUGAAGCAAGUUAUGUAGCCUCUCAGUGCCUAGAGUGUCCCAUUUGUAAAAUGGAAAUACUUUGUCCCAUAGUAUUUAAGACAAAAUAGAAAACUGUAUAUUAAGACAAAUAUUAAUAGAAAACUGUAUAUUAAGACAAAAUAGAAAACUUACCUUGGAACUUACACAUAUUACAUGGGCACCGUAUAAGUGUUAACUAUUAUAGUGAUGAUAUCUUAUUGUCAAAAAAUGUACAGCUUUGGUAGAUUGUUUAAGCUUAAGCUCUAUUCUCAAGCAAAUGGAAGAUACUGGCUUUCAGUAUUCAGUCUGAUAUAUUUUUUAAAACCCAGAAGCAGCAAUACUUGAAAAUACAGAAGUAAAUGAACAAAAGGGGGAGCUCGUUUAUUGGGACAUAUAAUUAAAACAUCCUAAAAAAGAAACUUGGGGUAAUCACAGAUUAAAUGACUUCCCUUCCUGAUAAAAAUUCAGUACUAUGGUAACUUUUUAGCAUAUUUCCCUGUCAUAAAGUAUAUUGGUCAGCAAUUUUGAGGUUUUCGAUGCUGUCUUUAUUGUUUUCUGAUAAAGAGUUGAGAACCUCAUAAACCUGUACUAGCCAGUAACUGUUCCAUAUUGUCCUAGAACUGUUUGAAUUUUAGGGCACUGCCUAUGCACGCUUAUCAAGUUUAAUGUGUCAUUUCAAUGUAUUCUUUAAUGGGGCUAAACAGCCUGAGUCAGAGGGUUUUUAUUUUUGCUAUUUAAAACUUGUGGUCUGGUUAAGACUCUAGACAGCACUGAAGAACAAGUGUCUUAUGUUAAUAGACAGUUUAUGGGUGAUCUGGGUGCCAGGAAAUUGUCAUGGUGGAGUUAAUGUUUGUGAUGGAAUGUACAGAUGAGAUUUACCUCUGGAAAAGUCUUUUUAGGGUGGAGGAUGGUCUUUAAGAGGAAACUUGUCAAAAGUCUUAUACCAGCCAGUAUUGCUACUAUAUUGUGUGUGUGUGUGUGUGUGUGUGUGUGUGUGUGUGUGUGGUGUGUGUGUUGUGUCCAUCACAGAGUUCAUAGGGGACAUGUACUAAAGGAUACACCUUUUAGUAUAGUUGGUGCUGUUGCAGAGAAGCUUGCUUGUGUUAUUGUCACAUAUUUGUAUCCUGCUGCUUUGACCUUAGGAGGUGGCUUUCACAUAGAUCUGAACCAAGUGUUAACAUAUUAAGAAACCCUCUUCUAUAAACUGUUAAUAAAUUAAGAAAGCUGAAGAAAGCCUCCCGAGGAGGCAGAGUUUGCCUUUACAUUUUAAGUGAUAGGCACUUGGGAGCCCUCAGAGGUUUUUGAAACCAGGGGGUGGAGUAUCGUUUUUGUUAUCUGGUGAGAUCACUCAUAGCAACAGCAUUGUGGUGUUGAUGGUAGAGUGGCACAGGGAUCAUGUAAGAGACUGUCUGAAAUAUCUGACUGGGAUAUAGCGAGAUGCUUGAACUAAAGAUUAGGUGCUCAAUUGAGGAGUGAGAGAUUUGAAAGAUUUUAAGGCACAUUCUUUCACUUUUUUAAUGUGGAGACCUGAAGGCAAAGAAGGAAGAAUGAUGAUGGUUCUGGCUUGAUAAAAUGUUUGAAGUGGGAUGUCAAGUUUGAGGGAGAUACGGGACUUCAUGGAGCAUAUGGCAGAUAAACCAUUAGAUGCACAGUUGGGAAUAUGGAUCGAGUGGCAGGGCUGCAGGAGAGAGUAUCUGGGCUAGAGGCAUGUAACUUAGGGAGUCAUGGUCUAGAUACAAUGAUUCUUGUCUUAUUGGUGAUAUAAAAUUAUCUGCUUCUUCUCUGUGCUUCCAGAAUGUUUCCAGACAUCUAAGUAUACCUUACAAGGCUUUUUAUAGUUUCUCUAUUUUUUUUUAGCCUCCUCUAUAAGUGUUCCACUCUCCUCUCCCAAGCAAGGAGCAUUUCCGUAUCUGUAGCAGUUUACUGGCCUCAUCACUUCUCAUGUUCUCUAUCUUCACUAUAUCAUACAUAGUGUUUCCUGUGUCUGUGAGGUUUUACCUCUCUUUUUGCUCCUAACAAGCUCUGUAUCUUUGGUUAAUACCUGCCCCCUGAACCCCUUCUCUUCCUCAGAGUCCAGAUAGUAUCUCCAUCCUUGAGCCCAUGAAAUUUUGUACAUAUUCUUUUCAUUAGCACUUAUCUCUCAGUGUACAGUAAUUAUCGCUUGCCUUUCUCUCAUUCUUUAUAUAGAUUGUGAACUCCUAAAAUAUAGACAAAUACCUUUACAUCCCCAAAUGGAAGAACACUUAGCAACUGGGUGCUCAGGGAAUGUUGUUAUUGAAUUAGUUCAUUUGUUUGUGAGCCAUAGGUGUUACUUUAGUGAUUUUGGAUGUGUUUAGAAGUAUAUUAUAUCUUAAACGUGCAAUGAUCUUACAAAAUUCAAAUGUAAUCAGGAAUAAGAUGAAUUUAAAUUAUUUAUCAAAACCAUUUUUCUUAUUGAAAAAUCAAUGUAUAUUCCUUUAUUGUAAAGAAAAGUAAUAGUAACCACCCCCCUAAGCAUAAUAAACCAUGAGAAAAGAUGAAAAGGAGAAAACCUAAAAUAUCCCAAAUCCUACCCCCCAGUGAUAUCUUGGUUUAAAUCUUUCAAGUCAUUUCAAGAGUGUGACAAAAAUAAGUUAAAAAGGAUCAAUCUGUGCAUAUUGUUCUUGAUGGUUUUUGUAACUUACUAUCUUGUGUGUCUUUAAAUAUCAAUAAGUAGUCAUUUGUUAAAUGGCAAGGUAGUAAUAGACUAACACUUCCUCACAUAGUUUAUUUAACCAGUUCCUAGCUAUUAGAUUGCUAGAUUGUUCCAGAUUUUUCACUGAAAUAAUCACACUUUGAUGAACAAUCUAGUAGUCUUGUCUUUUUAAAAAUCUUUUUGGGGGAUAUUUUUGAUGAAAAAUAAUAUAUAUCUUUUAAAAAAAAAAACUCUGUAUUAUCAAGUUACCUCUUGGAAAAGUCACAUUAAUAUAAACUACCACUUGCUCAGUUCUUUUCAUUGUAUUUUUACAUUUCAAAUUGCCUGAAAUUUUAAAAGUACAUGAAGAUAAUUUUAGUUUACUAUCUUACUGAAAUGAGAAACUUAGGGCUAGAGGAAUUACCAAAUUAAAGAUUUUUUGUAGAUGGAACUAUUUUUAUAGAAUUUUAAAGUAGGCUUGGAUGAAUAAUCAUCAGGGUUUUUAAGUGUAAGAGAUGAAUUUUCAUAGUUCCAAGCUAGGGGUCACAUCGGAGCUGCAGCUGCCAGCCUGUGCCACAGCCUCAGCCACAAGGAAUCUGAGCUGCAUCUAUGACCUACACCAUAUAUCAAGGCAUCGCCAGAUCCUUAACCCACUGAGCAGAGUCAAGGAUCAAACCUGCAUCCUCAUGGAUACUAGCCAGGUUCGUUAAUGCCAAGCCACAACGGGAACUCCUUCUCUGUGCUCCUUUAGAUCCUUUUUAGCUGCAUUACCUACUUUGAAUAACUAAUGUAAGUGGCUAUUCAUAAAAUGAAAACAAGCUCCUUCCCCAACCCCCGGUGGGUUCUUUAGGUGAGCAAAUAUAUACCAGGACUCAUUUUGAAAAGCUGGCCAGGCCUUAGAGUAAAAUACCUGCCCCAAAUCUUUAACUCUUGCUAGGCAAUUAGCUCAUUAUUCAGACUGAUUUUCACAGCCUUAAUCAGCCACUAAGGAAAUGAGAGAGGCAAAGGUGCCACCAUUGGAUAUUAUUGUCCUAAGGCCAAAACUGACCUCACAGUGGUGAAAUAGUGAUCUUCGAUGGUGCUCUUGUCUCUUAAAUAAAUCUAUUACACGUUUCUGGACAGACCCCCACCUCCACCAAGCAUUAGAAAGAAAAAUAAGGGAACAUCAAACCAUAGAAAGCAAAUCAUAGAAUAAAAUAUUCUGUUUUGUUGGCAAACUUAAAAAUUCGCUCAUGGAAUCUAAUAGCUGUAGGCAGGAGAUAUUUAUUGCAACCAAGACUUAAGUGUGGUUUAUUAUGUUUAUAGAGUAGUUUAAUACUACUUUUCUUUAAAUGAGUUUUUAAUUUAGGAAAAAAGAAUUCAGAUUUGUUCCCAGAGUAAAAAUGACUGAACAUCAUGGGAGUGGUUAAGUUUGGGGUUUAUGUGGGUAAGAUUUCUAUUUAUCCACUACAGUCAUUGGGUGGAUUUAAAAGCUUUCCCAGAUGGAAUUUAUAAAGUGAAAUUUAAAACUAGUAUCCUACACUUCUGUAGUAUACUAUAAUAUUUGGUUACAACAAUCAGUCAAUUUAGAAAGAAGUGGAAUGAGAAGAUAGAGGUUAAAUGAUUAGUACUCUCCAAUGCAGUGGGUCAUACAGAGAGUGAGCUUUAAUACUCAAGUGCUAGGUAAACAUCUAGCUUCUGUUAAGAGCUCCUAGGCAGUGCCUAAUCCUGGAACACAUUAGCUACUUUCAAUGGCAGGGUCUAAUCCAUUCUUAAAAGGAAGUACCAGGGAUACUGACCAUAGAGAUGACUGGCCAGAGGAAGCAUGGCCCUGACAACGCAUGUUUCCUAGGUUGUUGGUCCUCAUUCUCCAGGCUCCAUGCUGGGUGCUUUAUCUCUUUUUCCUGUUUAAUCCUCCCUCCAGACCAAUGAGGUGCAGAUGGUGUUGGAUUCAUUUCUAGAUGAGGUGACCGAAGCUUAGAAACGUUUUUCCAAAGUCACAUAUAUACAGGGUUACCCCAUACAGUUGUACAAAUUGUUCCCUGCGUGAGGGCAUGAAGCUAGGGGAGCACCGUACGGGGUAUGACUGCCCAGAGGAGACACUUUUUUCUAAUUUGUACGAAGUCUCCAUCUAGGCCAGUUCUAGCCGUAGUCAUAAAGCUGGUUAAUGGCAGAGUUGGGAUUUGAACUGAAUCUUGUGUAUCUCCAAAAGUCAUGUCGUUUUUAUUGUAUGAUACUGCCUAUUGUCAGAUACAAUAUUGUAUAAUACAUUGUUUUUCUUUUAUUCCCUUUAUAGUCCCCUUUCAUAAAAACUGAAUUUAUUUUAUCAAAUGCGGUAGUGACAUUAAACAAUCUAAAUGUUGAGGUUACUUCCUUGGAAAAAAGAAUAAUUCCUUAAAUUGGAGGAGGGAGAAGGCAUACUAAGUAACUUAGGCUAUUUGAUAAACUUUCUUAUUUUUCUGACAUACAUGGAUAAAUGUGGGUAUUAUGUUCUAUAAAAAGAUCCUAUAGAGAUUCAUUUUGAUAUAGAAAUGGAACGAAGAAUUAUCUGUAGAGUAGGUAGGAAAUGCUCUUUUAAAUUGAAACAGGAUCUAUAAUAGCAUCCGAUUAGGAGAAAACAUACAUUUAGGACUUCACAUUUUGACCUAAUCUCAUGACCAUUACCUGACUAAACAUGAGUUAACUUAUUUGAAGUAACCCAAGUAAAAUAAUUACCAAUUCUUAAAGCAGAAGAAUGGAGUUCCCAUUGUGGCUCACAGGAAACAAAUCUGACUAGUAUCCAUGAAGACACAGGUUCGAUCCCUGGCCUCGCUCAGUGGGUUGGGGAUGUGGCCUUGCCGUGAGCUGUUCUAGGUCACAGAUGUAGCUCAGAUCCCAUGUUGCCGUUGCUGUGAUGUAGGCCGGCAGCUACAGCUCCCAUUUGACCCCUAGCCUGGGAAC
ensembl:lncRNA